CGUAGGUAAUCUAUCCUUAUAUUUGGGAUAACAUCGGGAAACUGGUGCUAAUACCGAAUGGUCUUCAUUGCUAUAGGGCGAUGGAGUAAAGGUGGCCUCUUCAUGAAAGCUACCGUGUAGGGAUGAGCCUGCGUACCAUUAGCUAGUAGGUGGGGUAAUGGCCCACCUAGGCUACGAUGGUUAGCGGGUCUGAGAGGAUGAUCCGCCACACUGGAACUGGAACACGGACCAG
rnacentral:rRNA from 1 species